AUGAAUCAUCCACAAAAACCACAACUGAGUCACCCACAACAACCACAGCUGAAGCAACAACAACCAAAACUGAGUCACCCACAACAACCACAACUGAGGCAACAACAACCACGACUGAGGCCACAAAAACCACAGCUGAAGAAACCACAACUGAGUCACCCACAACAACCACAGCUGAAGCCACAACAACCACAACUGAGUCACCCACAACAACCACAGCUGAAGAAACAACAACCACAGCUGAAUUCACAACAACCACAUCUGAAGUCACAACAACCACAACUGAGUCACCCACAACAACCACAGCUGAAGUCACAACAACCACAACUGAGUCACCCACAACAACAACAACUGAGGCAACAACCACAGCUGAAGCCACAACAACCACAACUGAGUCACCCACAACAACCACAACUGAGUCACCCACAACAACCACAGCUGAAGCAACAACAACCACAACUGAGUCACCCACAACAACCACAACUGAGGCAACAACAACCACAGCUGAGGCCACAACAACCACAGCUGAAGAAACCACAACUGAGUCACCCACAACGACCACAACUGAGGCCACAACAACCACAACUGAGUCACCCACAACAACCACAACUGAGUCACCCACAACAACCACAACUGAGGCAACAACAACCACGACUGAGGCCACAAAAACCACAGCUGAAGAAACCACAACUGAGACACCCACAACAACCACAACUGAAGCCACAACGACGACAACUGAGUCACCCACAACAACCACAAUUGAGGCAACAACAACCACAGCUGAGGCAACAACAACAACAGCUGAAACCACAACAACCACAACUGAGGCCACAACAACCACAACUGAGUCACCCACAACAACCACAACUGAGUCACCCACAACAACCACAGCUGAAGCAACAACAACCACAACUGAGUCACCCACAACAACCACAACUGAGGCAACAACAACCACGACUGAGGCCACAAAAACCACAGCUGAAGAAACCACAACUGAGUCACCCACAACAACCACAACUGAGGAACCCACAACAACCACAGCUGAAGCAACAACAACCACAACUGAGUCACCCACAACAACCACAACUGAGGCAACAACAACCACGACUGAGGCCACAAAAACCACAGCUGAAGAAAACCACAACUGAGUCACCCACAACGACCACAACUGAGGCCACAACAACCACAACUGAGUCACCCACAACAACCACAACUCGGUCACCCACAACAACCACAACUGAGGCAACAACAACCACGACUGAGGCCACAAAAACCACAGCUGAAGAAACCACAACUGAGUUACCCACAACAACCACAACUGAAGCCACAACAACCACAACUGAGUCACCCACAACAACCACAGCUGAAGCAACAACAACCACAGCUGAAUCAACAACAACCACACCUGAAGUCACAACAACCACAACUGAGUCACCCACAACAACCACAACUGAGUCACCCACAACAACCACAACUGAGUCACCCACAACAACCACAGCUGAAGCAACAACAACCACAACUGAGUCACCCACAACAACCACAACUGAGGCAACAACAACCACGACUGAGGCCACAAAAACCACAGCUGAAGAAACCACAACUGAGUCACCCACAACAACCACAACUGAGGCCACAACAACCACAACUGAGUCACCCACAACAACCACAACUGAGUCACCCACAACAACCACAACUGAGGCAACAACAACCACGACUGAGGCCACAAAAACCACAGCUGAAGAAACCACAACUGAGACACCCACAACAACCCCAACUGAAGCCACAACGACGACAACUGAGUCACCCACAACAACCACAAUUGAGGCAACAACAACCACAGCUGAGGCAACAACAACAACAGCUGAAACCACAACGACCACAACUGAGUCACCCACAUCGACCACAACUGAGUCACCCACAACUACCACAACUGAGGUCACAACAACCACAAAUGAGUCACCCACAACAACCACAAUUGAGGCAACAACGACAUCUGAAGCCACAACAUCCACAACUGAGUCACCCACAACAACCACAACUGAGGCAACAACAACCACGACUGAGGCCACAAAAACCACAGCUGAAGCAACCACAACUGAGUCACCCACAACAACCACAAUUGAGGCAACGACAACCACGACUGAGGCCACAAAAACCACAGCUGACGAAACCAAAACUGAGACACCCACAACAACCACGACUGAAACCACAACGACGACAACUGAGUCACCCACAACAACCACAAUUGAGGCAACAACAACCACAGCUGAGGCAACAACAAAAACAGCUGAAACCACAACGACCACAACUGAGGCCACAACAACCACAACUGAGUCACCCACAACAACCACAACUGAGUCAACAACAACCCCAACUGAGGUAACAACAACCACAGCUGAAGCAACAACAACCACAACUGAGUCACCCACAGCAACCACAACUGAGGUCACAACAACCACAACUGAGUCACCCAAAACAACCACAAUUAAGGCCACAACAACCACAGCUGAAGCCACAACAACCACAACUGAGUCACCCACAACAACCACAACUGAGGCAACAACAACCACGACUGAGGCCACAAGAACCACAGGUGAAGAAACCACAACUGAGACACCCACAACAACCACAACUGAAGCCACAACGACGACAACUGAGUCACCCACAACAACCACAAUUGAGGCAACAACAACCACAGCUGAGGCAACAACAACAACAGCUGAAACCACAACGACCACAACUGAGGCCACAACAACCACAACUGAGUCACCCACAACAACCACAACUGAGUCACCCACAACAACCACAACUGAGGCAACAAAAACCACGACUGAGGCCACAAAAACCACAGCUGAAGAAACCACAACUGAGACACCCACAACAACCACAAUUGAGGCAACAACGACAGCUGAAGCCACAACAACCACAACUGAGUCACCCACAACAACCACAACUGAGGUCACAACAACCACAACUGAGUCACCCACAACAACCACACCUGAAGCCACAACAACCACAGCUGAAGCCACAACAACCACAACUGAGUCACCCACAACAACCACAACUGAGGCAACAACAACCACAGCUGAGGCCACAAAAACCACAGGUGAAGAAACCACAACUGAGACACCCACAACAACCACAACUGAAGCCACAACGACGACAACUGAGUCACCCACAACAACCACAAUUGAGGCAACAACAACCACAGCUGAGGCAACAACAACAACAGCUGAAACCACAACGACCACAACUGAGGCCACAACAACCACAACUGAGUCACCCACAACAACCACAACUGAGUCACCCACAACAACCACAACUGAGGCAACAACAACCACGACUGAGGCCACAAAAACCACAGCUGAAGAAACCACAACUGAGACACCCACAACAACCACAACUGAAGCCACAACGACGACAACUGAGUCACCCACAACAACCACAAUUGAGGCAACAACAACCACAGCUGAGGCAACAACAACAACAGCUGAAACCACAACAACCACAACUGAGGCCACAACAACCACAACUGAGUCACCCACAACAACCACAACUGAGUCACCCACAACAACCACAGCUGAAGCAACAACAACCACAACUGAGUCACCCACAACAACCACAACUGAGGCAACAACAACCACGACUGAGGCCACAAAAACCACAGGUGAAGAAACCACAACUGAGACACCCACAACAACCACAACUGAAGCCACAACGACGACAACUGAGUCACCCACAACAACCACAAUUGAGGCAACAACAACCACAGCUGAGGCAACAACAACAACAGCUGAAACCACAACGACCACAACUGAGGCCACAAACAACCACAACUGA
ensembl:lncRNA